CGGAAGUUGUCGAGGGUGUUUGCGCCACUUCCUGGCUCUGACCAUUCGCACAUUUGCUCGGUUAGGCACUUCUAUGUCUGCGAGUCGGACGCGCUUACUACAGACUCCAGAAAGUGAACCACCAUGGCUGUUGUUUACACAGUAAAUGGAGGCCGUUUGCAGGCUGACGAUGACGGAUUGCCUUCGGAAGAUCGGCCCGUAAGCGUUACAUCUGUUGUUUGGCCCUUGCUAGACAGCACCAAAACGAUUAAAGUGGAAGACACAAGUGGGCACGAAGAUCCUGUUCCCACCGACUCAUUAUCCUCGGGAGACCAUGCUGCAGCGACGCAUGUUGCUCCACUGAUUACAAUCAAAGAGGAGCGUAUCGAGGACGAAGAGUAUUUUCAGAUAAAGUUAGGUGAUAUUGGAGGGAGUUUGGACGACAAGAUCGAAAACAAGGACGGAUCAGACAAGGACAGCGUUAAUGGGGAUUGGCUUUUCCGCUGUGUGGAUUGUGGUGAAGCCUUUGAGCAGAGGGAGGCCUACCAGGAGCACCAACAUGAACACAUCCAUGAUGGUCCCAUAGUCUGCCUAGAUUCAGACUCACAGUGGCAUGACCUUCUUGUUUCUGAGGAUGGAGGUCGCCGAACACUCUGCUGUGCUCUUUGUGGUCGUAAAUUCUCAAAUUCUAGAGGUUUUUUCGCCCAUCAACUCAAGCACCGGACUCAACCCCUCAAGCAGGAACCUGUGACUGAAGUUGGCGUACCGGUCAAUAAGCCUCGCAUUUUUGAGUGCGAAGACUGUGGUAAAACCUUUUCCACUGUAGGCCUCUACCUCAACCAUCAACGUUCACAUAAGCAAGCAUCAAAGUCUGUUUUUCACCAGCUGGCCCAUCUGAAGAAAAAGUCCUUCCAGUGCCCUACCUGUGGCCGAUGUUACUCACGGGCCUCAGCUCUUGAUGCUCACCGUCGUUGUCAUGAGGUCAAACUGAUCAAAUCUCGCAGCUCAGGAACAGAGAAGCUUUCAGUUGCACUGGAAGGUGGAGAAGAAAAUGGAGAUGAUGCUGGGGAUGACAAAAAAACAAGACCUGUUUGUAAGUGUCCUGAAUGUGGAAAGACAUUCCGCUCUUUGUCUGGCUUGAACAUCCACCAACGUUCCUGCUGCAAUUCUAAAUGUCCUGAAGAAAAGCCUAAAGAGGAAUUUAACUGUCCUGAUUGUGAUAAGUGUUUCUUGAGUAGUGCUUCUUUAGUGUGUCAUCAACGUUGGCAUGUUCGGCGGGCUAAAAUAAGCAGCAUUGGCCAGUCUCUUUCAUGUGAGGAAUGUGGGAAGGUCUUCUCUUCACUUACCUUCUAUGAGAAGCAUCAGAGACUUGUGCACAGUGAAGAAACUCCAGCUAAGUCAUUUCUACAUCAAGUCUGCCAACUACAGAAGAAGGCCUUUGAAUGUCAAGAUUGUGGCCGUCGUUUCUCACGUGCCUCAGCACUUCAGUCCCAUCAAUUAUGUCAUACUGAUGUUUUUGGAGAUGUAAUUGACAAGGUGUACCAGAAACCAGUUGUCACCCCAACAUCCCUGACACCACCUCAAAAACUAUACUUGUGUGAUAAAGAAAAGCCAGAAAACUUUGCAAUAGGAACGUUGGCAUAUUCCCAGGGAGCUCCUCAGUCAUCAGAGAUGGAUGACCUUACUUGUAAGGAUACUAAAAAGGAUGAGGUGGAGGGUAACAACAGCAUUUCCAAUACUGAAAUUAUUGGAAUAACUGAAUCUGAUGACUUGAGAGAAAAAAAUAAUCACCUUUUGGUUACAGUACCAGAACCAGCAUUUGAUUGUGAAUCAAACAAGGAAGUCCAUACCGAUUUCAGUGCUCCUAUAAUCAAAAUAAAGAAGUCAGAAAGUCCAUUAAAAUCAAAGACAGAGGUUGAUGUUAAGCUUGAAUUCGAAUCUGUAGAAAAUGAAGAAAUUGCAGAUAAUCCAUGUAAAAUAAAGAAUUUUGAGUGUCCUGAAUGUGGUCGCAAAUUUGCUAGUGCCAAUGCUAUACGCUGUCACAGAAUGUGGCACAAGGGUCCUAUGGGACGGGCUGCAGGUCAUAAAAGCUGGACUCACAAAAUUCCAAGCCAGACUUGCCUGAAAAAGUUUUUCAAAUGCAAUGAUUGUGGAAAGGAAAGCCACUCACUUGCCUCACAUCGCCAUCACCUGCAACAACAUGGAGAUCCGAAACCUUACAAGUCGCUUUUGUUCCAACUUGCUGGGUUACAGAAGAACUCCUUUGUGUGUGAGGAAUGUGGAAUGCGUUUUUCUCGAGCUUCUGCUUUGCAGUCCCACCAGCAACACCAUACAAAGCCUAAAAGAACCCAUAAGUGUCCGCAUUGUGACAAAGCCUACUCGAGUCAUGGUGGACUGUAUAAUCAUCGCAAAACAUGUCAUGGUGAAUGGUCUAAUGAGGGUGCUUCCACUGACCUCAAAAAAGAUGUUUUCAAUCCAAGGAAGACUCUUCUUGGCCCUAAGGUGUACCACUGUGAACAAUGUGGAAAGGGCUUUUGGUCGCUGGGGGCAUUUUCUCAGCAUAAGCAGUGUCAGUGUGUUGAGGUCAAGGAGAAAAAUGAUUUGCCUGAGCCUCUAACUUCUAUUAGUAACCAUCCACGUACAGAUGAUAAAUGUGCAGUUUGUCCUGUUUGUGGAAAGAAGUUUCGUCACAAGGGUUACCUGAAGUCUCACAUGAAAAUGCACUGUACCACUCCACAGAAGAAACAUAAAUGUGAGAUAUGUGGUAAGUCUUACCACAUGCUUGCCUGUUUCCUCAAGCACCAGAUAGUGCAUGACUCUCAAAAAAACCCACCCCCAAUCAAGUCUUUUCAGUAUCAAGUGGAGCAGGUGAAAAAGAAUAUGUAUAGCUGCCCUGAUUGUGGUAAACGGUUCUCCAGAGCCAUGGCACUUCAGUUCCACAUGAGAAGCCAUGGCUAUGAAACUGGAUAUCCCUUUUCUUGGACAAAAUCUGUUGCCAAGCUGAAGAUGUUUCAGUGUCCAAGUUGUUCUGACCGUUUCUCAGAUGAAGUACUUCUAAAAGAUCACUUGAACCAGAAACAUUCUGAGAACCAGAAUGAGUUCAAUGAAAGUAGGGAACAUAAUCAGGAACACGAAGAAACAGUGAGCACUAUUGAAUCAACCCAAAAAGGGAAAGAUUUGCUGAGCGAGUCAGAGAAUUCAGUGAAAGAGGUACCUCUAGUCAAGGUCAACUCUGGAAAGUAUAAAUGCAGUGAAUGUGGAAGAGGAUUCUCAGUUGUUGGAGCUCUAAAUUUUCAUAAGAGAAUUCAUCUCAAGCAACACACUGCUUCAGAUAAUUUAGGAACUCCUGCUGGUCUUGAGGAAGCCCAAAGUGUAGAGGUCAAUGAUAAAGAUCUCUACAUUUGUCCAGAAUGUGGAAGGAGCUUCAAUACCAAUUCUGCCCUGGGGACACACAGACGAUGGCAUGUCGACAGGAACUUCGCUCUGACUUUGUCAACAGCUGAUGUACUGUGUUCAGAUAAGAACAACAGUGUAGCUGAUGGACCAUUUCACUGCAGCCGUUGUGGCAAAGGAUUCUCAUACUUCUGUGUUCUUAGACGCCACCAAAUGAAUUACUGUGGAUAUGAAGGCCAGACUCAGACAGAAGCUCCAACUGAUCUUGAUCAGGGGCCUAAUAAUAAACCAUCAACAAGUAGUGAAUUGACCUGCCCAAAAUGUGACUUGACCUUUAAUCGUUCUUCACUGUUAGCCUCUCACUAUCAGACUCACCAUGCCAAAAAUUUCAUGUGUAAUCAGUGCAAUGUGUGUUUCUUUUCAGGUGAGGCUCUCCAGAAACAUGAGUCACAGUUCCAUAGUGGUACAGAGAUCCCAGAGAAAUCUGUUGCUCCAACCCUUAAGAAACCCAAGUUUCUAGUGUCAAGAAAACGUUAUGAAUGCCUUGAGUGUGGCAAGCGUUUCUUUAAGAUAAGGGGCCUUCGGGCACAUAGAUGGCAGAUGCAUCAUGGGAGCCGAAAGUCAGUGGGCUCCUUUAGAACAUCACUGAAACCCUUUCCUUGCACUGGCUGCGAAAAGCGGUAUAGUUCUCAGGGUGCACUGUAUAACCACAGGAAGAUCUGUUUAGUGGCUAAAAGGAAACUGAAACAAAAGAAGGCUGUGAUGAUUGACCCAAUAUUGCCUCACUGCUUUUCUCAGCCAUAUGGAAAAUGCCUUUUUAAGUGUCAUAAGUGUGGCAAAGCCUUUCCCAGUGUAGAUCGACUAGAGGCCCAUAACAAUGUUGCUAAGAGCCGGCCACAUUGUUGUGCCCUCUGUUGCCGUGGUUACUGGACAGAAACCCAACUGCAGCAGCACUUGGCCUGGCAUGACGAGGUGCGCCUCCGCUUGCCAGCUGAACUGCGGUAUCGACUCAGCACCUGUGCUCAAGCCGCCAGAGUCCUCUCCCUUUCCAACCAGAAACAGAGUGCAAAUCUGCUUCCAUCAAAACCUCUGGCAUCCCCUGUUGAUUCUCAUUUACUGGAAGACCACAAGUGCUUGCAUUGUGGAGAUAUUUUCCCGACAGCUGAUGCCCUAAAACAACACCAGACUUCACACAAUGAUUUCUACCCUUGUUCUUUAUGUCCACGAACCUUUAGUCAAAUCCAGGAACUUGUUGAUCAUCACCAGGAGUGUAUGAGUGAGGACAGAAUGCGAACUGCUGAAGAAAAAGAACCAGUGCUUAAGGAUCCCCGUAGAGCAAGCAACGAGUUAUCCUGCAUUGAGUGUGGGAUCACUUUUAGUCAGGAGGUGGAGCUCCAUCAGCAUUACAUUGAACAUGCUCGAGGAGAAUACUAAAUGAUGUGUGGGGGUAGGGGAUUCUCAGAAAGUGGCGUUAAAACAGUAUUGACCCUUCGAGCUGUACAAACUGAAGAGGGCCAGAACAAUAGACAAUAGAGCAUUUUCUCUGAUUACGAUGAUGAUGACAACCCCCCACGCAUUUUAUUGAAUCCCAGAACAUGGUUGAUUCUGUCUUUUCUGUUUCUAGUAUUUUGCAGUUGGUGUACUUUUAUUGUAGUACUUCAAUAAAAUAUAGGUACCUUUUUAUGUUGGAAGGAUUUUCUUUUUUCUCAGGCUCUAUUGCUCAUCUCUUGUGCAUGAGCUUAGUUAAAUGUUUACAAGUGCCCUCAAAUGUAGCUGCAAAUUGAAGAAUGUGUUUUAACAAUUAAAUAUUUAAUAUGAAUUUGGUGCUCUAACUUUUUGAUGUUUGCUUUAUUCAUCUGGCGCUUUAUCUGUAAAUUGAUAAUCAGCUAAGCAUACAUGAGACAAUAACCAUGCCAUAUAAUGUCAUUUGGUUAUGCAACUUUUAACUAAAUCUUAGCAUAUUUGAUUUUUCCCCCCCUCUUUAUUUUCCCCCUCAAUAAGAACUUAAAUAUGGGGCCAUCUUGUGGAAGUACUUGUGUUUCUUUGAGUCUCACACAGAGACUACUACCAUGUAUGUUUUGUGUAAAUCAGAGAAACUUGAAAUGUUUAGUAAAUGUUAUACCAAAGUUUAUAGAAUAGUUUACACCUUGUUCUUAUGUUUUGUGUAUAGAUGUGUAUAUGUAGUGAUUAAAUGUAUUUAAAUGUAACAUUUCUUUUAACAUUUCUGAUCAUAAAACUUUGCCCAACUCAAACCAUCUAUAAGCUGAAAUCCCAACCUGGUGGAUUUAACAUCAAACACUGGAGCUACCAAGCCUGAUGUGUCCAGAUUGUGAGGAAUCAUUCAGUAAUUGGGAAGCCUUCAACAUCCAUUUACGCCAACAUGGACAUAGUGAGGAAGCGAAAAAGCAGAUGUUAGUUUUGAACAAAGAAAAG